UCUUUUGCAUUCUUAAUAUGUUAGGUUUUCAUUUUGUAACGUUCAAAAAUGUAAUUCUUGAUGUUCUAAUCUUGUAUUCAAUUUUGGUGUUUUAUUGACCAAAGGACGAGGUGCAGAUCUUUGCUGCAUCUUAGUUUGCCCCAUUUCCUGUAUGUUUUCCUGUCUAAUAGGCAGUUUAUUGCAGGUCAGAUUUAUUUAUUUAUUGACACUUCAUUAUGGUAGCUUUUGUAGCUGAUUGCAUUUCUUGUCCCAUAAAGAGUUUAUGCGGGCUUGAAUAAACCUUUUUGUUUUUCCUUUUCAAAUUUCAGUGGG
rnacentral:misc_RNA from 1 species